rnacentral:tRNA from 1 species
GCCUGGCUGGCUCAGUCAGUUGAGCACGCGACUCUUGAUCUCGGGGUUGUGAGUUCAAGCCCCACCUGGGCU